GUCGCUUUACACGGUUGCUGGUGAAUUUCUGAAACACAUCCAAUGAAGCAGUUCGUGUACUUGGUCACCAAGGAGAAAAGAAAAGUGCCAGAGAACAGCCUGACGCAUGUGUACAGUAAACAAAAAUCCAGGGUGCAUUCAAAAGCGAUACUACCCAUGGUAAUCUUCAGGAGUCGGUGUUGGGAAUUUACAAACUGACCUGUCCUGGUGAGUUAU